GUAGGGAAUAUUGGGCAAUGGAGGCAACUCUGACCCAGCCAUGCCGCGUGCAGGAUGACGGCCCUCUGGGUUGUAAACUGCUUUUAUACGGGAAGAAAAAAUACUACGUGUAGUAUACUGACGGUACCGUAAGAAUAAGGAUCGGCUAACUCCGUGCCAGCAGCCGCGGUAAUACGGAGGAUCCAAGCGUUGUCCGGAUUUAUUGGGUUUAAAGGGUGCGUAGGCGGAUCUUUAAGUCAGUGGUGAAAGCCUGCAGCUUAACUGUAGAAUUGCCAUUGAAACUGAAGAUCUUGAAUGUGGUUAAAGUAGGCGGAAUGUAUCAUGUAGCGGUGAAAUGCUUAGAUAUGAUACAGAACACCGAUAGCGAAGGCAGCUUGCUGAACCAUUAUUGACGCUGAGGCACGAAAGCGUGGGGAGCGAACAGGAUUAGACACCCUGGUAGUCC
rnacentral:rRNA from 1 species